GAAUCAGCAUUACACUUUUUGCAGUUCGAUUUUACACCACCGACUAGUUUCAACCCUCGAACUGAAAAAAGUGUAAAAGGCGAACUGCAAAAAGUGUAAAAGUUACAUCUUUUCCAGUUCAGGGUUCCGAACUGCAAAAAGUGUAACUUUUGGACUUAGAAAAAUUUUGAAGAAUUUGCGGAAUCAUUUCACCCGCUGUCAAAUCGGGACUUAGUGAAAUUUGGAUGCUGGUAGCAAGAGGUGUUGCAGAUUAGAUACGCACGCGAACCAACAGCGAAUAGAACGUGUUCCCGGAUUUCGCCUACCGGAAGUAUCCGUGCGCCCAGACCUGGAGAAGAAAACAUUUGAGAAUCGAGGACAAGCAACUUGGAAAGUCCGGAGAGGAGGAUCAAAACCAGCUCCCGGAAAGCCGCUCGCGGCAUUAGAUCUGGCUCCGUAAGCCGCUGCUGAUCCGACAAUCGUGCCAGCUCGGGAAUGCCCGAGAAGCUGCUGGUGGAUCUGGACGGCAUCUACUACAACAAGGGCAACCUUUCUGCGGCCCAACGUGACCGCUUAGGUCGGCGACGCGGUGCUCUUUUGCAUCGAGCACGCCGACGCGGCCGAGGAGAUUUGCGAGUGGUUCGCCGAGUCGCUGUCGAACAACGAAAACCAUGCUCAAGCGGAAGAUCGCCCGCAUCUACCUGAUCUCGGACACUGCACAGCUGCAGUGGCAAGGUAUCGAACGUGAGCUUCUUCCGGAAGGCGUAAGAAUGUUUAAAUUUUGAAAACAGCAGAUUUUUCAUCACAUUUUAAUCCUACAGCGUGGAGAAGAAUCUGCUGGGCAUCUUCAAGAAUCUCUUCGCCUACCACAUGCAGUUGGACAGCCGUCUCAAAGCCGAGGGCUUCAAGUCGCGCGUGAUGAACGUGUUCAAAGCGUGGGAGGAGUGGGCUACCCGAAGGACUUUUUGCUUAGGCUGCAGCACACCUUCCUGGGAAUUGCGAUUGUCGAAAAGCAACCGGAGAAAGUGCCCGCCUGCUGAAGGGAAUUGCCGAUACAGAUUCCAGCACGCCAGUGCUCAAGCACGACAUCUACAACGACGGGAUGCUGCUAAACACCACGGAGGACAUUGACGGCGUUCCGAUGCAGAGCUCGGAGGAGUAGCUCAAAACUGGCGGUUCGUUCCAAGUGGGAAACGGCAGGUGCGCGUCGACUGGAACUUCGGCGAAGAAAUCGCUCACUACCGGCGAUCCUCGCCGUCCGAGUACGUACCACGAACAAGUCGUCCCGCCGGCCCAGUUCCCCCUCUACUCCAGCAGAAGCCGCAGCAAGCGCGAAGCGUCCCUUUCAUCGCUCCAAACCAGCAGCAAGUCCACCCAUCGGUGAGGACUCUCAGAAUGGACAGAUUUCGGGCGAAGGUCGUGCAGGUUUAUCAACCAAUUUCUGAUGGCACCCGCCGGGUUGUUCUCUCCUGAAGGUCAACGCGAAAGUUGAGCCACGUCUCCAAAAAAUCAUCGACUUUGUGCACCAGCAACGAGCGAUCGAUCCGGGUUGAAAGCCAUCUGUUCGCGGUCAAUUCAUUCCGGAAGCUGGUUGCAAGUAGAAACAAGACAGAGUUCCGAGUGAUUGAGCUGAAACUCCGUGACAUCCGCCAGGACCGGUAAAUCCGGAUGAUGGCAAUUGCCAAAAGAGAGUUACGUAGGUUACUCCAAGAAGCGAACAAGCUAGGACCGGUGGGCGGAAUAUUUAACUUGGAACGGCCUCGAAGUGCUCCACUCAGUGAUUUUCUGAUAUUAGGUCAGAAACUUUAAUUAU